UGGGGAAUAUUGCACAAUGGGGGAAACCCUGAUGCAGCGACGCCGCGUGAGCGAAGAAGGCUUUCGAGUCGUAAAGCUCUGUCCUAUGAGAAGAUAAUGACGGUAUCAUAGGAGGAAGCCCUGGCUAAAUACGUGCCAGCAGCCGCGGUAAUACGUAUGGGGCGAGCGUUGUCCGGAAUUAUUGGGCGUAAAGGGUACGUAGGCGGUUUUUUAAGUCAGGUGUCAAAGCGUGGAGCUUAACUCCAUUAAGCACUUGAAACUGAAAGACUUGAGUGAAGGAGAGGAAAGUGGAAUUCCUAGUGUAGCGGUGAAAUGCGUAGAUAUUAGGAGGAAUACCGGUGGCGAAGGCGACUUUCUGAACUUUUACUGACGCUCAGGUACGAAAGCGUGGGGAGCAAACAGG
rnacentral:rRNA from 1 species